GGGCCACCCCCGCCGCAGGCGCCCGGGCGGGGACCCGGCGCGCUCGCACGUGCGGCGCGGCCGCAGGUAGGUGGCCGCGGGGCGCCGGGGCCCGAGAGUGCCCGGGGUCCCCGCGCAGGGGCCCCUCGGUGCGCCCGGGCGCGCGCCCCCCUCUCCGCCCCCGGGUCCCUUGCCCCAAGGCUCCUCGCGGCCCGCCCGGCCUUCGGACUCCCGCCCCCUUUCCCCGCAGGCGCUUGGUCUCGUGGGCUCGCUGGGGAGGUCACGGGCGCCCACAGCCCCCAGCACCCUCGUGUGCCUGGAGCCCGAGACGGCGCCACGUGGGUGGUGCUUCCCGGCUUGGGCUGCUUUCCACCGACCCUCCGUCUCAUGGGGCGCCUGGCACCCUGCCCUGCAGGCCCCCGGAGCAGCCCCGUGUGCCCACCUCCAGGCCACCCUGUCCGACCGGCCCUUCCAGCUGCCCUUUGGGGCCUUCUUUUCUUUUGAGGGGGAAGCCGACCCCCGCCUCCGCUUUACCCUUUGGGAUUUCCCAUGAUAAACGGGCUGGGAGCAGGAUGGACCCUGCUCGGAAGGCACCCGGGUCCAGGUCCCUGCUUGGCCAUGGGACCUCAGGCCACCCACAUGGGCUCUCUAGGUGGGAGAGGGGCGCCCUGCUCCUUCUGUCCAGAACUGCCCCCCUCACCCAUCCAUGUCCACGGCCAGUCUCGCUCGACCUGGUCCUCCCAUGUGGUUCCUCAGCCACAGCCGUCCACGGCUGGACUGUCCUUCCCGUUCAGUACUUCUCCCAACAGGUGCCCCCCCCCCCCCCCCCCCCCGUUAAACCCCUCGUUGCCAGCCUUGGUCCCUGUGCCUGGAACCCUUCCCCACCCUAUAGUGUCUCUCUUGACCCCCAGGUCGCGUCCAGCCCAAAUUCCUCUCUUGGGAUCCAGGACGUCUCUUCUGCGCAUUCAAAUGCUCAGAAGUAGUAAUUACUUUGGGUCUGCUCAGCACUCGGUGUGUGAUUGGCAUCCCCCCCCCCACUGUGUUUCAGUCACAGGCCUUGUCCCCAUCUCCCCCCACAGAAAUGUCCACUGGCUGUAGUUGGUGCCCUGGGUCCAGCGUGACCUGCCCUGGCCCACCUGGGUGGCCUCAAGUCCCCCUCGCACCCCCUGGGAGCGCUCACUGUGGCUGCCCUUCCUCAGGGCCACGCCUUGGCACAUGCUUGUCCCCCUUCCUGGGGCCCCACCCCGGGUAGAAUCAGGUGGGGCUGCCCUAUGGCACUCGAAACAAAAGGAUGCAGGGGAUCAGUGCCAAGAAAGCGGCUCAGGUGGGGUGGGAGGACAUCAGGAACGGAGGACGGGGUGUUUGAGCCAAGGGAAGGGAGACUAAUAUUGGGCCUUUGGUGGUGACAGUAGGGAACAGGCCCGGAGAGCCGCCUGCCCUGGGAUGUACCUCUGUGGGGGUCGUGCACGCACACGUAUGUUCCUUAAAGCACUCCUGACCCCCGGUCCCGUGGAGAGGUCUUCAGACAAGCCGGGCACUGGGCAGCUGUGUCCUGGGCUCAGACACUUGUUCUCCGGGGUGCCCUUCCCUGCCCUGUCGGCCUUUCUGCUUUCCAGUGUCCCCUCCUGGGCCCCACUCACACCUCACUCCCUCUGGGGGACUUGGGGGGUGGGGGUGGGGAGGCAGCGUCUGAUGAUGAGGGAGACGCUGAAAUGCAGGGACCCGGAGGGAACUGCUCCCACCCCAGCUCACGGCUGCCACCCGGAGACACCGGGGCACAGGCUGGGGGACACAUGGGUCCUGCUCGUGCGUGGCACAGCCUCCAGCCGACAGGAAGCCGGAAAAGGAUGAGAGAGAACAAGAGAGGGCUUGGUAGUGGAUAACACAGGAGCUGGAACGGAAACUUCAGCAGGAGGUUGGAAGAUUCAAGUCGGAGAAAUCUCCUGGAAAGACAGGUGGAAACAGGAAGAGGACAGAAAACAGGAGCGAUCGAGAGUUCCAUAGAGGAUGGGGGAAAUGGAGGGAUGUUGUCCAAGAAAUAAUGGAAGGGGACUGUGGGAUCAGCGUCUCCAAUAGCUAGAGCCCCACAGUCUGUCCUGGGAACACACACGUCAGGGGUCCUGGGUCCCAUAAAUGCUUCCAGGUCAUGUUCCACGGGAUCAGGAAGGAGAAAGUGAUGGCUGACCCCGAGGUCUCCAUGAAGCGGAAGGAGGAAUCGGGACAUUUGAGGCCAGCGGGGUCAUCACAGAUUAGCUUAGCAUACUGCAGGAUGGACUCCAGCAAAACGAGGGAUCCUUUCAGAACUGUGAACUGCUGACCUUUGAGUGCUUUGCACGCUGAGGUGCUUAGGAGGCAGACAACGAUGUCGGCGGUGUGCUUUGAAAUGCACCGGAAAUAAGAUGUGGUGAGGGAUGGACAGAAAGGUGGACAGAUGGACAGACGUGGAUGAAACCCAAGAGAAAUUUCUAGAGCCUACAAGUCUGAAGUCAAGGGGUCGCAGGGCUGCGCUGAGGGUCCUUCCUGCCUCUGCAAGCUUCUGGGGGCGGCCUGCAAUCCUUGGUUUGCGGCCGCCUCCCUCUGGUCUCUGUCGUAUCUUCACAUGGCCGCCUCCCUCUGGUCUCUGUCGUAUCUUCACAUCGCCGCCUCCCGGUGCGUCUUUGCCCAGAUUCCCCCCUUCUUGUAAGGACACAGGCCAUCGGAAGUAGGGCCACUCUACUCCAGGAUGACCUCAGCUUAACUAGUUUCAUCUGCAGAGGCCCCAAUUCCAAAUAAGGUCGCAGUCACAGGUUUAGGGAUUGGGAUGGGGACCUAUCUUUUUGGGGACACAGAGCAACCCGCGACACCUCCCCAGGCAUGACGACCAGAAACAUAUUCGCACCUGUCCCCUGUGGCCGAGAACUGCUGACCCCUGCCCGCCCAUCUGGAGUGGGUCACUGCAGAAUUCUUCCCACUCAGCUCUGUGUCUGAAAAUUCUCGUAGGACGUUGGAAUGAAAUAACACGGAGCCGGGGGGAGGGGGGUCUGGGGGUGACAGGGCCACGAGCGUUGUUCGCGGGGCAGGUGUUGGCACACAGGCUUCACUUCUCUGGUGCAUUUGGAGACCUUCUGUAAUAAAAGUAUAUGUUCAGGUCUGUAAAAAAUGUCCUUUGAGACAUCCGUUUGGAAAUGUCUGUGGAUGAAAGUGGGUGGG
ensembl:lncRNA